rnacentral:rRNA from 1 species
AGAACGAACGCUGGCGGCAUGCCUAAUACAUGCAAGUCGAACGAACUCUUCGGAGUUAGUGGCGCACGGGUGCGUAACGCGUGGGAAUCUGCCCCUUGGUUCGGAAUAACAGUUGGAAACGACUGCUAAUACCGGAUGAUGACGAAAGUCCAAAGAUUUAUCGCCCAGGGAUGAGCCCGCGUAGGAUUAGCUAGUUGGUGAGGUAAAGGCUCACCAAGGCGACGAUCCUUAGCUGGUCUGAGAGGAUGAUCAGCCACACUGGGACUGAGACACGGCCCAGACUCCUACGGGAGGCAGCAGUGGGGAAUAUUGGACAAUGGGCGAAAGCCUGAUCCAGCAAUGCCGCGUGAGUGAUGAAGGCCUUAGGUUGUAAAGCUCUUUACCCGGGAAGAUAAUGACUGUACCGGAGAAUAAGCUCCGGCUAACUCCGUGCCAGCAGCCGC